rnacentral:rRNA from 1 species
UACGUAGGGGGCGUAGCGUUGUCCGGAAUCAUUGGGCGUAAAGAGCGUGUAGGCGGCCAUGUAGGUCCGUUGUGAAAACUCGAGGCUCAACCUCGAGACGCCGAUGGAAACCAUGUGGCUAGAGUCCGGAAGAGGAGAGUGGAAUUCCUGGUGUAGCGGUGAAAUGCGCAGAUAUCAGGAAGAACACCCGUGGCUAAGGCGGCUCUCUAGUACGGUACUGACGCUGAGACGCGAAAGCGUGGGGAGCGAACAGG